GAUGAACGCUGGCGGCGUGCCUAAUGCAUGUAAGUCGCACGCAGUGCCUUCGGGUACUGAGUGGCGCACGGCUGAGGAACACGUGGGUAACCUGCCUCGGAGUGGGGGAUAACGGGUCGAAAGCUCCGCUAAGCCCGCAUACGCUUGCCCUCAGCUGAGGGUAAGGAAAGCAUCAAUUGCGCUCUGAGAGGGGCCUGCGGCCCAUCAGGUAGUUGGUGAGGUAACGGCUCACCAAGCCACUGACGGGUCCCUGGUCUGAGAGGACGACCAGGCAGACUGAGACUGAGACACGGCCCAGACUCCUACGGGAGGCAGCAGCAAGGAAUUUUGCACAAUGGGCGCAAGCCUGAUGCAGCAACGCCGCGUGGAGGAUGACGGCCUUCGGGUUGUAAACUCCUUUUGGGGGGGACGAUGAUGACGGUACCCCCCGAACAAGCCCCGGCUAACUCCGUGCCAGCCGCCGCAGUAAAAC
rnacentral:rRNA from 1 species